AGUGGAGGAUAACGUAGCGAAAGUUACGCUAAUACCGCAUAUGCCCUGAGGGGGAAAGGUGGGGAUCGCAAGACCUAUCGUUUUCGGAGUGGCCGAUAUCAGAUUAGCUAGUUGGUGGGGUAAAGGCCCACCAAGGCGACGAUCUGUAGCGGGUCUGAGAGGAUGAUCCGCCACACUGGGACUGAGACACGGCCCAGACUCCUACGGGAGGCAGCAGUGGGGAAUUUUGGACAAUGGGGGCAACCCUGAUCCAGCCAUGCCGCGUGAGUGAAGAAGGCCUUCGGGUUGUAAAGCUCUUUCAGCCGGAAAGAAAUCGCGCAGGCUAAUAUCCUGCGUGGAUGACGGUACCGGAAGAAGAAGCACCGGCUAACUACGUGCCAGCAGCCGCGGUAAUACGUAGGGUGCGAGCGUUAAUCGGAAUUACUGGGCGUAAAGCGUGCGCAGGCGGUUUUGUAAGACAGGCGUGAAAUCCCCGGGCUUAACCUGGGAACUGCGUUUGUGACUGCAAGGCUAGAGUGUGGCAGAGGGGGGUAGAAUUCCG
rnacentral:rRNA from 1 species